GAGUGAAGUGGGAAAAGCUCAACUUUGAAAUCUGGUACUUUCAGUAUCCGAAUUGUAGUCUCAAGAAGUGUUUUCUGUGCCGGUCCAUGUAUGAGUCUGUUGGAACACAGCGUCAUAGAGGGUGACAACCCCGUUCAUGACAUGGAUCCCGGUGCUUUGUGAUACACUCUCGAAGAGUCGAGUUGUUUGGGAAUGCAGCUCAAAUUGGGUGGUAAAUUCCAUCUAAAGCUAAAUAUUGGCGAGAGACCGAUAGCAAACAAGUACCGUGAGGGAAAGAUGAAAAGCACUUUGGAAAGAGAGUUAACAGUACGUGAAAUUGUUGAAAGGGAAACGAUUGAAGUCAGACGUGCGUGAUGCGGUUCAGCUUUAGUUCGCUAGAGUGUACUCCGUAUCUUUGCAGGCCAGCAUCGGUUUUGUUAGUCGGAUAAAGGUUUGAGAAAUGUGGCAUCUUCGGAUGUGUUAUAGUCUCAGACUGAAUACGAUUGAUGGGACCGAGGAACGCAGCGCGCCGCAAGGCAAAGGUUCCGACCUUUUCGCGCUUAGGAUGCUGGUGAAAUGGCUUUAAACGACCCGUCUUGA
rnacentral:rRNA from 1 species